rnacentral:rRNA from 1 species
UUGUCCUGUGACUGCGUACCUUUUGUAUAAUGGGUCAGCGACUUAUAUUCAGUGGCAAGGUUAACCAUCUAGGGGAGCCGUAGGGAAACCGAGUCUUAACUGGGCGUUCAGUCUCUGGAUAUAGACCCGAAACCAGGUGAUCUAGCCAUGGGCAGGUUGAAGGUUGAGUAACAUCAACUGGAGGACCGAACCGACUAAUGUUGAAAAAUUAGCGGAUGACUUGUGGCUAGGGG